ACGGCUGAGGAAGACAGACGGAACCCGACCAUUUGAGUGGGGAUAACCCCGCGAAAGCGGGGCUAAGACCGCGUACGCUCGGGGGAGGAAGAGCCCUUGAGGAAAAGCGAAAGCUACAGAUGGAGGGACGACUGGCCCAUCAGGUAGUUGGUAAGGUAAGGGCUUACCAAGCCGAUGACGGGUAGCUGGUCUGAGAGGAUGAUCAGCCAGACUGGGACUGAGACACGGCCCAGACUCCUACGGGAGGCAGCAGCUAGGAAUCUUGCGCAAUGGGCGAAAGCCUGACGCAGCGACGCCGCGUGGGGGAAGACGGUCUUCGGAUUGUAAACCCCUUUUGAUCGGGAAGAGGAAGGACGGUACCGAUCGAAGAAGCCCCGGCUAACUACGUG
rnacentral:rRNA from 1 species